rnacentral:rRNA from 1 species
AACGAACGCUGGCGGCAUGCCUAACACAUGCAAGUCGAACGAGACCUUUGGGUCUAGUGGCGCACGGGUGCGUAACGCGUGGGAACCUGCCCUUAGGUUCGGAAUAACUCCCCGACAGGGGUGCUAAUACCGGAUAAUGUCUUCGGACCAAAGAUUGAUCGCCUUUGGAUGGGCCCGCGUUGGAUUAGCUAGUUGGUAGGGUAAAAGCCUACCAAGGCGACGAUCCAUAGCUGGUCUGAGAGGAUGGUCAGCCACACUGGGACAGGGACCAGGCCCAGACUCUUGCGGAGGGGAGCAAUGGGGAUUAAGGGAUAAUGGGCGGAAGCCGAAGCCCGCAAGGCGGUGUAGGUGAUGAGGGGCUAAGGUUUAGAAGCCGGUUAUUCCCGGGAUGUUAAGACGAUACCCGGAGAAUAAGCCCCGGGCAAACUCGGG